GUCAGGAUGACCGAGUGGUCUAAGGCGCCAGACUCAAGUUCUGGUGUUCAAUGAAGGCGUGGGUUCAAAUCCCACUCCUGACA
rnacentral:tRNA from 1 species